rnacentral:rRNA from 1 species
UACGUAGGAGGCAAGCGUUGUCCGGAAUCACUGGGCGUAAAGGGCGCGUAGGUGGUGGCUUAAGCGUGCGGUGAAAGCUCGGGGCUCAACCCCGAGUCGGCCGUGCGAACUGGGCUCACUGGAGCAUAGUAGAGGCAGGUGGAAUUCCGGGUGUAGCGGUGGAAUGCGUAGAGAUCCGGAAGAACACCGAUGGCGAAGGCAGGUCUCUGGGCCGAUACUGACGCUGAGGAGCGAAAGCGUGGGGAGCGAACAGG